rnacentral:sRNA from 1 species
UCGACACCUACCCGUAUUAAACUAAUCG